rnacentral:rRNA from 1 species
GUUCCCAUCCCGAACACAGAAGUUAAGCUCUCCAGUGCCGAUGAUACUUGGGCGGAGACGCCUUGGGAAAGUAGGUCGCUGCCAGAU